UACGUAGGGGGUUAGCGUUGUCCGGAAUCAUUGGGCGUAAAGAGCGCGUAGGCGGCCCGGUAAGUCCGUUGUGAAAGUCAAAGGCUCAACCUUUGAAUGCCGAUGGAUACUGCCGGGCUCGAGUCCGGAAGAGGCGAGUGGAAUUCCUGGUGUAGCGGUGGAAUGCGCAGAUAUCAGGAGGAACACCGAUAGCGAAGGCAGCUCGCUGGGACGGUACUGACGCUGAGGCGCGAAAGCGUGGGGAGCGAACAGG
rnacentral:rRNA from 1 species